CAUUUGUGAACCUGUACUAAGGUUGCUUAAAACUUUGUAACAUAUUUUUCCACCUUUUCUUCUGAAGCUCUCUAGUGCUGAUAUAGUUUGCAGCAGAUAUUUGAAAUUUGGCUGGGGAAUAAUCCUGGGGUCAGGAAGGUGCCCUUGAUGUGCCUAUGAAAAUCUAUUCAGAUUUGACUGAACUAUGUCCUAUACAAAUAUCCCCAACAUUCUAUUUAGUGGGAUCCCACAGGGCUCGGUCCUUGGUCCCGCACUAUUCAACAUUUUUAUCAAUGACCUGGAAGAAAACAAAAUCAUCACUGAUAAAGUUUACAGACAACACAAAAACUGGAUGAGUGGUAAAUGAUGAAGAGAACAGGUUACGAAGACAGAGUGAUCUGGUAAGCCUGGCACAAGCACAGCAAUAUGCAUUAGAAUAUGGCUAAAUGCAAAUAUAUAUCUCUCUAAGAACAAAGAAUGUAGACCAUACUUACAGGAUGGGGACACUCUAUCCUGGGAAGCAGUGACUGAACAAGAUUUGGGGGUCAUGGGUGGAUAAUCAGCUGGACAUUACCUCCCAGUCCAGUGCUGUGGCCAAGAGAGUUAAUUCAACCCUGGGAUGCAUAAAGAGAGGAAUCUCGAGUAGUAGUGGAGAGAUUAUUUUACCAUGAAGAAGCUAUUCCCGAGAGCUGAAUUUUCACAAGCAUGUCUACGCAGAGUCUCUCAGACAGGCACUCGAUCCAGAAAGAACUUGAUCAAACUCUUCUGCUUCUAAAAGUUGCAGCCAACCAACCUCAUGCUGAACUGGUUCAAUCCUACUCAGUCACUUAGCAUUUAUCAUCAUUUUCCUGCUCCAUUGUUCUUGGGAGCCAUGAACAAACAAAACCAGAGCAGCAGCCUGUAACGAAAGCCUGGUACAGGCAGCUGCCAACUUUUCUUCCCUUAAAUGUGUGGGGCAGUGAAGGACACAGAGUUACAGUUCUCAAAUGCAUCCAGCGAGCCCGAGCCCCAUUUAAUAAACUUGCUCUGCUCUCUGUUUAGAGGGUGCUACAGGAUGUUCCCCAAAUGACAGCCAUUUCUGUAGCAUUAAAGCUGUGGUAAAACUGUGCCCUGGAUGAUAAUAAUGGUGCUGAUUCGGCCAGCUCGCAGUAAAUGUGAAAUCCAGUCAAGGGGAAAUGCCUUCAAUGCUAAAAUAAUAACCCCUUUUUCAUUCUGCUGAAUUAUAAUUUAGACUCAUUCUUUCUGCAGGACUGGCACAGAAUAAUUUGUCCAGAGAGCAAUGUAGAUGCUUUGGGGGUAACUGCUUCUUGUCCUGUCCUCCGAAUACCAGAAACAUUGCAGAUUGUUUCAGAAUGGGCCACUGUUGUUUACCCUCAAAGUACAGACAGAGAAACUGCUCCUGAGGGAAGGUUAUGGAGUGGUGCCAAGUUGGCCAAAGACCGACCACUGAGAGGACCGGGAGACAAUCCCUGCAGUAGUUAGGUUGAGGAACCUUGAACCUGUGAGGCCUCCAAAGAGCCUUCAGGCAAAAGAGAGAAGACCGGACUCAGUUUUCCUGAUACUUCUAAGCCAGAUGUGAUCAUCAGUGCAACAGGAAGGCACCAAUUAAGGGCAGAUCCUGGUGUUCCAGUCUGAAGCUGGAGGGGAUCCAGCUGGAACAUCGCCACCUGUGGAGAAUGUGUGGUGUAUUGAAAACAGCAUUAAAAUUAUAAGCUAUCCGUUUAAAUGCUCUGAAUUUUGUCCUGCUCCUUCUUGAAGGUCAGGGGGCUCUACAGGGAAGUGUGCGAUCUGGCCUUAGCUGUUAGCCAGCAGCCAGCCAGCCAGCCUACAGUAAUGUGGGGUGAGUUGUGCACCUCUGUUUUAGGGAGCAACC